AGGAGGGAAGGCUCCUUAUUGGUGCCCCUGGAGCCUACUACUUUCAAGGUCAGAUCAUCAGUGCAGGACUGCCUGACAUUGUCAACAGUGCCAAGAGCCAGAAUGCCAAACCUUAUGUGGCUGGACAAACCCAUUCCCCUGAGACUGGUGGAUACGAUCGUUACCAUGGUUAUUCUGUGGCCGCUGGUGAGUUUACUGGAGACUCCAUACCAGGUG